UUACUGGGCGUAAAAGCGCAUGCAGGUGGUUUUGUUAAGUCAGAUGUGAAAGCCCGGGGCUCAACCUCGGAAUUGCAUUUGAAACUGGCAAACUAGAGUACUGUAGAGGGGGUAGAAUUUCAGGUGUAGCGGUGAAAUGCGUAGAGAUCUGAAGGAAUACCGGUGGCGAAGGCGGCCCCCUGGACAGAUACUGACACUCAGAUGCGAAAGCGUGGGGAGCAAACAGGAUUAGAUACCCUGGUAG
rnacentral:rRNA from 1 species